AAAAAGAUAUCUUUACUCCUGUGUUCAUUGCAGCAUUAUUUACAAUAGCCACGAUAUGGAAACAAUCCAAAUGUCCAUCAACAGGUAAAAGGGUAAAGAAAAUGUAGCAUAUACAUACAAUGGAAUAUCAUUCGGCCUUUAAAAAGAAAGAAACCUUAAUAUUCGCGACAACAUGGAUGAACCUAAAGGACAUUAUGCUAAGUGAAAAAACCCACUCACAGAAGGACAAAUACUGCAUGAUUCCAUUUUAGAUAUGAGGUAUCUAAAAUAGUCACACUCACAACUAAUGAUGUAAUGUAUGGGGAUUAACAUAAGAAUACAAAAUAAAUAAAUAAAAAAUAAAAUAGUCACACUCACAGACAAGAAAAAUUGAAUAGUGCUUGUCAGGGGCCACAGGGAGGAGGAAAUGGAGAAUUGGUUUCUCAGUGGGUAUAAUACAUUUCUGUUACAUAAGAUGAGUAAGUUCUAAAGAUCUGAUGUACAAUAUAGUACCUACAGUCAAUAAUAUGGUAUUGUACACUCUAAAAUAUGUUAAGAGGAUAGAUUUCAUGUUAAGUGUUCUUAUCAAAAAAGAAAAUAAAAGUAAAACCACAAAAGAACACAAGGAAAUCCUUGGAGAUAAGGGAUAUAGGUAAUAUCUUGGUUGUGGUGAUAGUAUCAUGGGUGUAUGCAUAAGUCUAAACUCAUCACGAUGUAUACAUUAAAUGUAUGCAAUUUUUAUCACUUACACUUCUGUAAAGCUAAACAACAAAUGGAGUAUAAGCACAGUGAAAGCUUGGGGAAAAUACAGAGUUCUUUUUUUUUUUUUUUUGCAGGUUAAGAUUGAAGUGCUCAUAGAGCAUCAAGGGGAGAUGUCUACUGUGAAGAUGAAAAUAAAAAUUGGAAACUGGUGAAAGAUCUGCAGAUAGAGAUGUGGCGGUUAAGAUUGAAGUGCUCAUAGAGCAUCAAGGGGAGAUGUCUACUGUGAAGAUGAAAAUAAAAAUUGGAAACUGGUGAAAGAUCUGCAGAUAGAGAUGUGGCGGUUAAGAUUGAAGUGCUCAUAGAGCAUCAAGGGGAGAUGUCUACUGUGAAGAUGAAAAUAAAAAUUGGAAACUGGUGAAAGAUCUGCAGAUAGAGAUGUGGCGAGAUGUGUCUUGAAAGAAGCCACUGUGCCAAUGUCAAAGAGGUUACUGCCUAUGUUCUUCUCUAGGAUUUUGAUGGAUUCCUGUCUCACAUUGAGGUCUUUCAUCCAUUUUGACUUUAUCUUUGUGCAUGAUGUAACAGAAUGGUCCAGUUUCGUUCUUCUGCAUGUGGCUGUCCAAUUCUCCCAGCACCAUUUAUUGAAGAGACUGUCUUUUUUCUACUAGAUAUUCUUUCCUGAUUUGUCAAAGAUUAGUUGACCAUAGAAUUGAGGGUCCACUUCUGGUAUCAUAAAAGCCAUCUAUGGAAAGCCCACAAUGAAUAUUCUCAAUGGGGAAAACCUGAGAGCCUUUCCCUUAAGGUCAGGAACACCACAGGGAUGCCCACUCUCACCACAUUUGUUCAACAUAGUUUUAGAAGUCCUAGCCUCAGCAAUCAGACAACAAAAAGAAAUAAAAGGCAUUAAAAUUGGCAAAGAAGAAGUCAACUCUCUCUCUUCGCAGAUGAUGUGAUACUUUAUGUGGAAAACCCAAAAGACUCCACCCCAAAAUUACUAGAACUCAUACAGCAAUUCAGCAAUGUGGCAGGAUACAAAAUCAAUGCACAGAAAUCAGUUGUAUUUCUAUACACUAACAAUGUAAC